GGGCCCGCACAAGCAGUGGAGUAUGUGGUUUAAUUCGAAGCAACGCGAAGAACCUUACCAGGGCUUGACAUCCCACGAAUAGUGUAGAGAUAUACUAGUCCUUCGGGACGUGGAGACAGGUGGUGCAUGGUUGUCGUCAGCUCGUGUCGUGAGAUGUUGGGUUAAGUCCCGCAACGAGCGCAACCCCUGUGGUUAGUUGCCAGCACGUAAAGGUGGGCACUCUAGCCAGACUGCCGGUGAUAAAUCGGAGGAAGGUGGGGACGACGUCAAAUCAUCAUGCCCUUUAUGUCCUGGGCAACACACGUACUACAAUGGCCGUAACAGAGGGAAGCGAGAGAGUGAUCUGGAGCAAAUCCCUAAAAAGCGGUCCCAGUUCAGAUUGUGGGCUGAAACUCGCCCGCAUGAAGUAGGAAUUGCUAGUAAUGGCAGGUCAGCAUACUGCCGUGAAUACGUUCCCGGGCCUU
rnacentral:rRNA from 1 species